rfam:Brassica napus, WGS project CCCW01000000 data, contig: 182
UUGAAGUAGCGAUAUUGGUGCAGUUGAAUCGGAUCAAAUGACUGUAUCUUUCAUUUGAGUCGAUUGAUUUGAUUGGGCCAUGCCAAUAUCUCUAUUAUGAAA